rnacentral:rRNA from 1 species
UGCGGAGGGUGCAAGCGUUGCUCGGAAUUAUUGGGCGUAAAGGGUUGGUAGGUGGUCUGAUUUGUCUGGGGUGAAAGCCUUGGGCUUAACUCAAGAAGUGCCCCGGAAACGGUCAGACUCGAGUACUGGAGAGGCUAGUGGAAUUCCCGGUGUAGCGGUGAAAUGCGCAGAUAUCAGGAGGAACACCGGUGGCGAAGGCGGCAUCCUGGACCGGCAUUGACGCUGAGGCGCGAAAGCUAGGGGAGCAAACGGGA